rnacentral:lncRNA from 1 species
UUUUAUUGUGUCGGUUGUCAGCUUGUCAGGCUCUUCGUUUAUUGUGUCGCUUGUCGGCUUGUGCGGCUCUCGCUCGCUCCCCGUUGAAGAAGACCCCCUCCUGUUUGGCUACAGUAAGUAGAAAAAAGAAAACCUUUGCUCUUUUUAUUGUAUAAAGACCUUUUGGCCCUGUUAAAUAAACAGAUAUAAUAAAAGAAAGCGUACCCCUUAUUUU